GCUUGUCUCAAAGAUUAAGCCAUGCAUGUAUAAGUAUAAACGCUCUGAAGCGUGAAACCGCGAACGGCUCAUUACAACAGCUAUAAUUUACUUGAUCUUGAUUACCUACUUGGAUAACUGUGGWAAUUCUAGAGCUAAUACAUGCACCAAAGCUCCAACCCGUAAGGGAAGAGCGCAUUYAUUAGAACAAAACCAUGCGGCUUCGGCCGCUCAAUGUUGACUCAGAAUAACUAAGCUGAUCGCAUGGUCUUGUACCGGCGACGUGUCUUUCAAGUAUCUGCCUUAUCAACUUUCGAUGGUACUGUCAUUGACUACCAUGGUGGUGACGGGUAACGGAGGAUCAGGGUUCGACUCCGGAGAAGGGGCCUGAGAAAUGGCCACUACGUCUAAGGAUGGCAGCAGGCGCGCAAAUUACCCACUCUCAGAACAAUUUGAGGAGGUAGUGACGAGAAAUAACGAGACCGUUCUCAACAGAGGCCGGUCAUCGGAAUGGGUACWAUUUAAACCCUUUAACGAGUAUCUAUGAGAGGGCAAGCCUGGUGCCAGCAGCCGCGGUAAUUCCAGCUCUCAAAAUGCAUAGAAUUAUUGCUGCGGYUAAAAAGCUCGUAGUUGGAUCUGUGCCGACAGACUGGUCCAUCUUCGGAUGCGUACUGGUUAUUGUCGGCUUUCCUGCAGUUUUGCGGCUCAGUGCCUCUCACGGGGUGCAGUGUCCGUUGCUGCAAGUUUACUUUGAACAAAUCAGAGUGCUCUAAACAGGCGUUUCGCUUGAAUGUUCGUGCAUGGAAUAAUAGAAGAGGAUUUCGGUUCUAUUUUAUUGGUUUUAUAGACUGAGAUAAUGGUUAACAGAGRCAAACGGGGGCAUUCGUAUUGCUACGUGAGAGGUGAAAUUCUUGGACCGUAGCAAGACGAACUACAGCGAAAGCAUUUGCCAAGAAUGUCUUCAUUAAUCAAGAAYGAAAGUCAGAGGUUCGAAGGCGAUCAGAUACCGCCCUAGUUCUGACCGUAAACGAUGCCAACUAGCKAUCCGCCGGCGGAAUUCUUGCCCUGGUGGGGAGCUUCCCGGAAACGAAAGUCUUCCGGUUCCGGGGGAAGUAUGGUUGCAAAGCUGAAACUUAAAGGAAUUGACGGAAGGGCACCACCAGGAGUGGAGCCUGCGGCUUAAUUUGACUCAACACGGGAAAACUCACCCGGCCCGGACACCGUAAGGAUUGMCAGAUUGAUAGCUUUUUCAUGAUUCGGUGGAUGGUGGUGCAUGGCCGUUCUUAGUUCGUGGAGCGAUUUGUCUGGYUUAUUCCGAUAACGAGCGAGACUCUGGCCUACUAAAUAGUCGGCGCAUUGUCUCUGUGUGCAUGACUUCUUAGAGGGAUUUUCGGUGUUCAGCCGCACGAAAUUGAGCAAUAACAGGUCUGUGAUGCCCUUAGAUGUCCGGGGCUGCACGCGCGCUACACUGGCAAAAUCAGCGUGCUUGUCCUCCUCCGAAAGGAGUUGGUAAACCAUUGAAAAUUUGCCGUGAUUGGGAUCGGAAAUUGCAAUUAUUUUCCGUGAACGAGGAAYUCCAAGUAAGUGCGAGUCAUCAACUCGCGUUGAUUACGUCCCUGCCCUUUGUACACACCGCCCGUCGCUGCCCGGGACUGAGCCAUUUCGAGAAACUUGGGGACCGCUGAUUUGCAGUCUUUCGGGCCUGCUUAUUGGUGGGAACCAAUUUAAUCGCAGUGGCUUGAACCGGGCAAAAGUCGUAACAAGGUAGCUGUAGGUGAACCUGCAGCUG
rnacentral:rRNA from 2 species